CCCAGACUCCUACGGGAGGCAGCAGUGGGGGAUAUUGCACAAUGGGGGGAACCCUGAUGCAGCGACGCCGCGUGGGUGAAGGAGCGUUUCGGCGCGUAAAGCCCUAUCGGCAGGGAAGAAGGAGGACGGUACCUGACUAAGAAGCCCCGGCUAACUACGUGCCAGCAGCCGCGGUAAUACGUAGGGGGCAAGCGUUAUCCGGAUUUACUGGGUGUAAAGGGGGCGCAGACGGCAGCGCAAGCCAGGAGUGAAAGCCCGGGGCCCAACCCCGGGACUGCUCUUGGAACUGCGCGGCUGGAGUGCAGGAGGGGCAGGCGGAAUUCCUGGUGUAGCGGUGAAAUGCGUAGAUAUCAGGAGGAACACCGGUGGCGAAGGCGGCCUGCUGGACUGCGACUGACGUUGAGGCCCGAAAGCGUGGGGAGCAAACAGGAUCAGAUACCCGCGUA
rnacentral:rRNA from 1 species